CCGGCAACGGAUAUCUCGGCUCUUACAUCGAUGAAGAACGUAGCGAAAUGCGAUACUUGGUGUGAAUUGCAGAAUCCCGUGAACCAUCGAGUCUUUGAACGCAAGUUGCGCCCGAAUCCAUCCGGUCGAGGGCACGUCUGCCUGGGUGUCACGUACACAAGGCUCCACUAACAACCCCCCACUCCUUUAAGGUUUGACGGGACAUGUGUGCGAGCAAAGAUUGGUCUCCCGUGCUUU
rnacentral:rRNA from 1 species